CUCACUUGGGAGGAAGACAGAUGCCAAGGGAAACCCUGCCAGCUCCGCUAGCAAAGGAAAGAAUAAGGCAGCAUAAUGACAUCAAUAGAAAAAUGAAGAAAUCCUACAGCAUAAAGCACAUUGCUGAGCCAGAGUCAAAAGAACUCUUCUUGUAAAUCACUUUUUAAAUUUUCUCUCACUGAUGCCCUUUGGAAAUUAUUGGAAAUUUCUGGACUAUCCUCUUUGGAAAGAGAACCAUGAAAACAAUGCCUCACCAGCAGAAGAACAGAAUAUCAGGAUGCCUUAAAUUUAUAGUAGUAGACUGUAAAAGAUUCAUUUUGGGGUGAUAUCUGUAUAUAUAACUUGUUUUUUUAAAAGAUGCCGUUUAAAAGCAUGAUUGGGAAAAUGUAUGUUUUUUAAGAGUAGAUUGAUUCACCCUACCCACAGGACAUUCACCAAGCCACUGAUACCAUUUUAUAUUUCAUCAAUUGCAUGAGUAUUUGCUAAUGUUGAUUGAACCUCCCUUUCCCCAUAAUGUGGGCAGAUUUGGCUCAGCUCCUUCAUGAGAUCAGGUCAGUGGUAUUGUUUCUGUCAAGAGUGUUUUUUCUGUCAUUUCUACUUUUUGUAUAAAGGAAAUAAAACAAUGUUAACAGCC
rnacentral:lncRNA from 1 species